rnacentral:misc_RNA from 1 species
GCGGAGAAUGAAUCAUCCAAAUAUUGUGAAACUCAAGGAAGUCAUACGGGAAAAUGGCAUAUUGUACUUUGUUUUUGAGUACAUGGAAUGCAACCUUUAUCAACUUAUUAAGGACAGAGAAAAGCUAUUAUCAGAAGCUGAAGUCAGGAAUUGGUGUUUCCAAGUGUUUCAAGGUCUUGCUUACAUGCACCACCGAGGAUAUUUUCACCGUGACUUGAAGCCAGAGAACUUGUUGGUUACGAAGCAUCAAAUUAAAAUCGCUGAUUUUGGUCUUGCUCGAGAAAUCAA